UUUUUUUUUUUUUUUUUAAAGCAAGGAUUUUUUUUUUUUAAAUUAAAUUCUCCAACAAAUUCUCACGAGUUCCGCCAGAGUAAUGGAUCCCGAUUCAGCCUGCUGGACUUGGGAAUUUCUGAAGGAGUCCUUUCCGCCUUAGUCCUUAUGGCUGGGCGGCAACGAGCUGGGAGCACUGCCAAGGCUGCAGAGAAGGACGUCCUGCAUGUGCAGGUGGGCAAGGACGGGAGGGUCUGAUUGCUCUUGCAGAGGAGGGAGAAGGGAGGAGCCAAGGGCAAGGAAGCUUGGUGAGGAGAGAUCAGGGCUGAGAGAGACACUGGGGAAACGGGAGUGUCAAAAUCCACUGGCAUUUUAUCCAGCAGAGUGCAACACGGCCACGAGUGCAAGGAACCUGGGGGAUUUGGCUGAAAAACAAAAACACCUCCCAUUCCAGGGCCCAUCUGUCACCCCCAUCCCCAACCCCUGAUUUUUCCAAAAGGUUACUGCUUGCCACCCCAGACACUCACCCAUCGGGUUCAGGAUUCCAAAGCUGCAACCCACUUGGACCAUAAAAAAAUAGAACUCACUCCCCAUGAUUUUCUGUAUGGUAUGGGCCUCGAUGUGGACGGUGAGGAAGGAAGGGAAAUCGGGGGGCAGGCUGCGGAGCCUCAGGCCAGACUGAACCCCUCGUAGUUGUCAAGGGCCUGGGUCAGCCGGGCGCGCAGGACCUCUUUGCUGCUGUACUUGGGCAGGUCGAGAAGGUUGUAGCACGUGUGGGCCACAGGCAAGUAGUCCUCCCCGCUGGCUGUGGACUGGAUGACAAUCUGCAGGCUGGCCAUGCCGUAGAUGGGAAUCCGGUCGCUGCCCGUGAGGAACACUGCAGCGGGGAGAAGGCGAUUACCAGCUGCGCCCCCCCAUCCAGCGGCUCGCUGCCGCUCUGGGGGGACCAGAGGGCAAGGGGGACACCCUGUGGCCCCUGUGGGAAGUGCAACCACUUUCACGCGCCGACAGGUACUGCAUUUACUCUAUGCUCACGCUUAGAAAGCCAGAGAUUGCUUUCCAACCCUGGUUUUUGGUCUUACAUAGAUUAAAAAGUAUACUUUUCGGAGUUUCCUCUGUGGCUCAGCGGAAAAGAGUCAGACUAGGAUCCAUGAAGAUGUGGGUUCGAUCCCUGACCUCGCUCAGUGGGUUAAAGGACCUGGUGUUGCCGUGAGCUGUGGUGUAGGUCGCAGAUGCAGCCCGGCUCCCAACGUUGCUGUGGCUGUGGUGUAGGCUGGGGGCUACAGCGCCGAUUCAUCCCCUAGCCUGGGAACCUCCAUAUGGCGCAGGUGUGACCCUAAAAAGCAAAAAAAAAAAACAAACCUAUACUUUUCAUUGGCUAAUUUCAGAUCCUAAUUAUACACUGACACAAAGAAGCCAUCGAAGGGAAUGAUGCUCAAAAAUGCCCCCCCACAACAAAUGGCCUCCACCUAUGUAGCCCUCGUAAGUGCUAUGAGCCCUCACACAGUCAGAGAGGAAGGGAACUGCUGAAGUCAGAGAGGAAAAGAUCUGACUUCAGGGAAACCGGGAAAAAGCCUACAGUCGAUGUGGCCUCAGGGUCUCCUCUCCCCUUGACUGUCUGAUGCUAACACCCUUUGGCUGGUGCAUUUCCGUCUGUUAUCUGUGCUUUUGCCCUUCCCCGUCUCUCCUUUUUUCUUAAACUGGAAGAGCUGACACUGAGAUGAGACAGCUCCCUCUUGCAACACACUGUGUGACUUGGGGAAAAGAGAGAGAACCCCAGCUGUCUUCUGUUUUCCAGCACUAGAUUCUUUGUUGAAUUGUGGGAAAAUUACUUGAGAAAUCAUUAGUGACGGAGCACUUUCAAACAUCACGCCACUACCCAAGACUGCAAUAUAUAUAAACAUCCUUGUCAAAAUCUGUAGCGGGAAUAAAGAAUUAAUGUAAGUCUAACGGUCUCUAAAGAGAAAAAUGUCUUUUACGGAACUCCCUGGACCCAGAGCAGGCUCCUCUCAUCACAGCUCUAUAAUCCACAGGCAAAUCUGACCGUCAUUUGACUUAUAUGCCAGUGCUUUGCAAACGCCCAUGGAACUGGGCAGAGGAGAACAGGGCUCUUGUCGGGAAUUCUUCUCUAAGAUCUCUGCUUCCUCUCACCCUUACUCCAUGAGAGCAGCAGAAUCCAGCAGCAAAUCUUGCAUUCAUACUAUUAUAUGCUCAUUCUUACAAAGUAAAAGACACUGCCUUUCAAAUGCUGGUUUUUCAUUUUAUAUAGAUAAAAGUUCUAUACUGUUCACUGGCUCAUUUCUGACCCUGAUUAUACACGGACACAAAGAUGUGAACUAUUUUUAAAAGGCUGCGUUGGUUCAUGUACACUGCCUACUUCAUUCUCCUUUCCAAAUGACCCUUGUCACAUGUCACCCAGCCAGUCACAAAGGACCACUUAUCAUAUGGUUCCAUUUCUAUGAAAUGCCUAGCACAGGUGAAUCCACAGCAACAGAAAGCAGCCUGGUAAGGAGCAGGAGCUUGGGAGAAAAGGGGGCAUGAGCGCUAAUGGGCACAAGGUUUCUUCUCGAGCUAAGGAACGGGUUCCAAAGCCGACCUCAGCCUCGCACCUCUUAGUCCACGAAAAGCCCCGAACUGUACGCUUCACGUGGGUGAGUCGUAGGGGAUGCCUACGGGACUCACGUCUCACUGAAACUGUUCUGAAGCACGUGUCCCCAGCUACCUCUGAGGAGAACACGCUAAUCUUUUCCAAAGACUAGAGAGAGAAGGGGGCGUUAAUCCAAACAACUGAGCUUUAUCAGGGUAAUUCUUGAAUAACCGCGUAUAUAUAAAACGACUAGUAUUUGGAGAGCAGUUAACCAUCAGUGAAUUGCUUCUCUUUUUUUUCCCGUCACCCCUGCAGUGUAUGGACGUUCCUAGGGCAGGGAUCAAAUCCCAGCCAGAGCUGCAACCCAGGCCACAGCUGCAGCCAUGCGGGAUCCCUAACCCGCUGGGCCACAGCAGGAACGCCAGUGAAAUGCUUCUUUGCUCCCUUUCAUGCACCUCAUCCUGUGAGGCCACGGAUGAGGAUUCACACCCUCUCCUGUGCCCGAGACAGCCCUCAGCAAACGAGUGUAAGCCUAUCCCUCACUCACUCUUUACCCCGUAAGAGCUGAACGUUUCCCGGCGGAGUGCAUUGCCCUACACCACAUGCAAACCCGGAGGAGAAACUUCUUCUUCUUUUCCAAAGGGAACUCGUGAAAUGUUUCCCAAAACAGUUUCACCGUGGGAUGUGCGGCUGAGUAGUCACCCUUGUAGACGGCGGUCUGCCCGAAAAAAGACGAAAAGGCAAAAACUUCUCUUCCAGUUCCUCCCAGUUGUAGUUGCUGUUCCCCACCAUCAUGGCCCUCAGUUCGGAAGGCUGGAAGAGCUCCAGCACUUUGCCGCCACACACCUUGAGGAAGCCGCUGGAGAAAGCUGUGUACCACUCGCCAACGGAGAUUUGGAAGACGUAAUUCACAUAAGCAUCCACAAACUCCUGCCUGUCCGGAGACCCAAGAAACAGAGGAUGUGAAAGCCGAAGCCUGGGAGACCGUCCCAGGUUCCCCUUCUCCACGGAGACGGCGUGAGAUGAACCAUCUCACCCAAGUCUCGCACCCGAGGGAUCCUAUGGCAUCUUGUAGGUUGCCGCCCAUCCGGCCCUAGGACUCCACCAAGGAGUCUCAGGUGAUCUGUGCCAGGGGAGGCAGGAAGCAAGAGGAGGCGACUAGGCAGGUGUGUCCACACGACUGACUUUACUUAACCUGAAGUGCUCCAGUUCUCAUCUUGUUUAUGGUCCUACUUAAGCGAGUUCAGAAAAAACGUUGCCUCUGUUUUCUCAUCUUUAAAAUGGGGUAAGAGUUCAGUUUUUAAAAUAAAAGCCGCUAAUAUAAAAAGAUUAUUGUACUUGUAUUGUACUUAUUAUCUUAACCAUAGAUGCUGAACGUUCUCAGGCUGCAGGCCAUGUACUGCUUUCCCGGAUUCCAUUAGACAAAGGCUGUAAAACGAAGAAUGUUGCCCACCGAUCCAAUUCUACAAGGAUCGAGUCUUUAGCCACUCCAGUCACUGACCUACUGUAUACCCUGAAAGGAAUUCAGGAUGAAAAGGGCAUGAAUCAUUCUGUGUUUGGGAUAUGCAGGCCCCCAGAUGUUUAAUGCAUAUCACAAGAAUUUCGAUGACCCCAGAUUCUUGCGCCUUCCCGUACAUAAAUAAGCCAUUAAAUCAUUAAUUUGAGAUACCUGUUUUUCUGUGAUUAGCAAUAAUCUCUUACCAAGAUGUUUGCUUGACUACAUGUUUUUCCCAG
rnacentral:lncRNA from 1 species